rnacentral:rRNA from 1 species
GGCUGUCGUCAGCUCGUGUCGUGAGAUGUUGGGUUAAGUCCCGCAACGAGCGCAACCCUUGCCAUUAAUUGCCAUCAUUUAGUUGGGCACUUUAAUGGGACUGCCGGUGAUAAACCGGAGGAAGGUGGGGAUGACGUCAAGUCAUCAUGGCCCUUAUGGGCUGGGCUACACACGUGCUACAAUGGUCGGUACAGAGGGUUGCAAACCCGUGAGGGGGAGCCAAUCCCAGAAAACCGGUCGUAGUCCGGAUUGCAGUCUGCAACUCGACUGCAUGAAGUCGGAAUCGCUAGUAAUCGCGAAUCAGAAUGUCGCGGUGAAUACGUUCCCGGGCCUUGUACACACCACCCGUCACACCAUGGGAGUUGGUUGCACCAGAAGUAGGUAGCUUAACCUUCGGGGGGGCGCUUACCACGGUGUGGUCAAUGACUGGGGUGAAGUCGUAACAAGGUAACC